CUCGACUACAGGGACAACUCACCAGAGACAACUCGACUACCUAGAGGCCUGAAGAAAUCCACGUACAGAUAGGCGCUGUCGCUACGCCUGGAAGAAAACUGGACCGAAGUAUGGACAACAGAUUUUGUUUACUUUUUGUUAUGAAUAAUGAAUUUCAUUUGAAUACUAAACGUUGUGGGGAAAUUCAAUGGAUAAAAGAUUUCGUCUACUUUUUGUUACGAAUAAUAAAUUUUAUUUAAGUACUAAACGUUACGGGGAAGUUUGUUGCGUUACAUACUUACUCUUUGCAAUACUGCGGCCCGUAGAUUCCUGAACACCUACGAGAAGAGAGUCCACAAAUAAUUAUCGCCGAUCUGGCACCUUUUCUAAUCUCCGUGCAUCAGAUUAGAUGCACGGAGAUUAGAUAAUGCUCGAAAAUCAGCCCGAUAACUAGGGUGAGUUGACUAUUUCUAUGGAUUAUUUGUUAACCAAUCUAGACUAGAAUAAACUAACAUUUUUAAUAAAUUAUUCCAUUCGUGGUUAAUGAAUAUUUAAUUGAGGCUACUAACCCGAGAGAAUUGCUGCGUCGAAGAAACGUCAUUCACCAUCUAGGACGACAUGGCGCAAAGAGGUAAAGCGAAGCUUUAAGAGAGGGGUGGCUACUCAUACACAGUUUAUCGCACCAACGCGAAUGGAACUGGAGGAAGCGACAGUGCUUUUCAGCGUCUGUCAAAAUUGGUUCCAUCGCAAAUGUUUCAAUAAUUCAGAUGUGGUAAUGACAAGGGAACAGUAAAGACUAUUAAAAAGACAGAACGUUACGUUUGAGUGUGAGUGCCUUGACUGCUACCAGGCCCAGGACACCCAUCACGACUCCAACCCAGUUGUUCCAUCCAAGCAGAUGGAACCUAGAAGCCGUCGACUGGCAGAUUACUCUUGAUUCCGAAUGCUCGGGAAUCAGCCCAAUACCUAGGGUACCAAAAACUUUAUAAGAAAUUAAUAAACAAUAAAAACAUAAAUGAAAAGCACAAAUUACAGUUCAAUGAAUGCAAAAACCUUUAUACUCGAUUGCUCCACAAAAAGAAAUCAAAUUAUUACAAAUCUAAAUUUGCUUCUCACAAAGGCAACAUCAAGGCAUUGUAGAAAACAAUGAACUUAUUGGUAAAAAUAAAACAAAUUCUUGUCCUUUGAUUGGACUUGAUUGCAGUAAUACACAAAUUGCAAAUAAAUUUAAUGAACACUUUUCCCAAGUGGCACAAAGCCUGC